rnacentral:misc_RNA from 1 species
AGAACCUCUCCUGAUAUUAGCACAGAACUAGUUAGUCCACAUGACAAAACUCAAAUUGCUGCAACAACAAAAACUAGAUUCACCUAAUUGAAACUAACAGGCAGCUCCACUAAUUAAAACUAAUGGACAACUUGGCUAAAAAAAGGUGUAGUAGAUAAAUCAAGGGCUAAUUUAAUACAUCAGCAGUAAAAACCAAUCAGACAACAUGUACAGAAACAGAAUCUGAGCAUAACAAAGGUUAAAGCCUUAACCUUAAAGAUACAUGUUCAAAUGAAAAAGACCAAUGCCUGUGGUAACAUUUUCCCUCUAUAUGUUAAUGUUCUAUAAUAUCACAAUGUUUAAGCAUACAAUGGACAAGAAGUUGCAUAACCCAUAAAGGUGGAAUCAAUGUCUAAAAUGUUCAGGUUGCUACAGCACAAUUAGUUUCCCCUUAUUAAGAGAGCAAAUGUAAUUAUCCUUCCAAAACUUGAGACAUAGACCACUAUUAUUGAGAUUCUAACCUGAUGUUCAUAGAACUGCUCUAACAAGGGGAACGUAGAAGAAGUGUUCAGCAGAUUUGCAAUAUGCAAAGCACGAGAAGCAACAAAAGCAUUGUCAUGGUAU